ACCAAAUGUGUGUCCGACCGUCCUGUUGUUAUCCGUUUGUUGUCCCUGUAUAUAUGUGAGCUGUUGCCUCUCAAAAAAAUAUAUAUCAAUCCUUUAUCUUUGCUCUCUCUCUCUCUCUCUCUUUUUCUCUCUCUAUCUCUCUGUCUCUCUAUCUCUAUCUCUCUCUCUCUCGAUCUCUAUCUAUCUCUUCCUUCUUAGAAAUUCAUAGUCUAUGACGUAUAUACCUGAGGUUAAAGUAAGAACUCUUUUUCUUCUUUUUCUUUUUCUUUCUUUUUUUUCGAAAUAUCGAUCUUUAGAAUAUGAUUGCAAUCCCUCCUCUACAGCAGCGUUUCUCAAUCUUUUUUUUUUUUUUUUUUUUGUUCUACAGCCCAAUACAUUGUAAGAUUUGUUUGUAACAAUACCACAUGUGACGUAUAUCCCUGAUGUCUCUGACGUAAGAGCGUAAGAGUGCGUAAGCACUUUUUUUUAAUCCUUAUUUUUUGAAAUAUCGAUCUUUUUUAUAAUCUGAUUAUAAUCCCUUCUAUAGCAGCGUUUUAAUAUAUAUAUAUUAUAUAUAUAUAUAUACACUUGUUUGUAACGAUAUCAUCCCUAUGAUCAGUCUAAUGUUUUAUAAUACAAAAAGAAAUAUUAUAUUUAAGAAUUCAUUAAACCUCUGGGAGUCAUUUCUUCAUAGAUGUUAUUUUAAAGAUAACAUGGCUCUAUUACUGCAGAUAUUCUCGCAAGAAUUCUUCCCAAGAAUGUUCUAGAGAACAUAGAUUCAAGAACUUUCACGAAUUCUCUGAACAAAUUUAUCAUUUUGUUUGUUUUGUUCUGAAAGAGAAUAGAAGCUAUUAUUACGCGGGGUCUAAUUAAAAAUUUAAUACGGCCCAUAAGUUGAGAAACGCUGCUAUAUAAAACGUCGUGAAACUUUCAAAUGUCACAUGCCUGAGGUAUAUGCAUAUGUGUUACACAUGUACGUAUCUUAAUUUUCUUUCUUUCUUUCUUUUUUUCUUUUUUUUUUUAAUCUUAUUUUAUUUUAUCACCGUAAAAUUCUUUGUUAGUUUAUCUACGAAAUUUUUAAUGUAUUUUUUUCGUCGAUUUUAUACUUGAUACAAUAUGAUGAUAUAUUACACCACACACACACACAUAUAUAUAUAUAUAUAUAUAUAUAUAUAUAUAUAUACCGGGUGUUAAAAAUAUAGCAUACUUUUUUUAGUCAUAUUCCACGUAAAGAAAAAUUAAGUUAUAGAGGGUUAAACAUUUGUGUUAUGUGGAUAUCUCAGAAUAAGUGGAUAAUAUUUUAGUGCUGGCUUCGGUAAAAUGAAAUUUGAAAAAAAAAAAGAAAAAGAUUCAUAUAAACAUACGUCCUAUUUGACUUUGUAGUCAAAGUUGGUACAUAGUUUUAAAAUAGUACAUUAAGUGUAUGUCUCUCUCUCUCUCUCUCUCUCUCUCUCUCUCUCUCCCUCCUCUCUCUCUCUCUCUCUCUCUAGUGUGUGUUUGUAUCUAUAAUGUAGAGUAUUUGAGAAAAUUAACAGUUUUAAAACUAAUAGAAAAUUACAUUCUUUUUGUUGAAUAGAUGCGUAUAUGUGUUAUUAGAUGGGUCGGUCUUGUAAUAUAUUUCACAAACAGAUAUUAAAUGGAAAAAUGUCUUUUUAUAUGCACAUAGACCUAUUUCUUAAUUACAUAUAUCUAUAAAUAGAAACGAUAGAGAGAGAGUGAGAGAGA